rnacentral:rRNA from 2 species
UAGGGAAUCUUCGGCAAUGGACGAAAGUCUGACCGAGCAACGCCGCGUGAGUGAAGAAGGUUUUCGGAUCGUAAAACUCUGUUGUUAGAGAAGAACAAGGACGUUAGUAACUGAACGUCCCCUGACGGUAUCUAACCAGAAAGCCACGGCUAACUACGUGCCAGCAGCCGCGGUAAUACGUAGGUGGCAAGCGUUGUCCGGAUUUAUUGGGCGUAAAGCGAGCGCAGGCGGUUUCUUAAGUCUGAUGUGAAAGCCCCCGGCUCAACCGGGGAGGGUCAUUGGAAACUGGGAGACUUGAAUGCAGAAGAGGAGAGUGGAAUUCCAUGUGUAGCGGUGAAAUGCGUAGAUAUAUGGAGGAACACCAGUGGCGAAGGCGGCUCUCUGGUCUGUAACUGACGCUGAGGCUCGAAAGCGUGGGGAGCAAACAGG